rnacentral:lncRNA from 1 species
GCUAUCAAGGUCUGUUAGUAUAAAACAGUCCUUUUAAAUAUUACUGUUAAGAGAGAAAAAUGCUCUUCGGCUGCUAUACUAGAAGUGGCCCAUGAUAGGGAUUCACUUCUGAAGCCAACUGUAUCUUUGCCAGCAGGGAACAGUGUUAAGAUGACUCUGCACUCCUUCUUGAGCGUUUUAAGAAUUUGAGAGGAAUUCCGAUUCUUGCCCUGACAUGGGAGGUAGGUGAGUUCUUUCCUUCCCAGGCAGAGCUGGGAUUAGACACGGCUAUUACCGUCUUUCUGGGACCAUCGUUCCAUGGUCCUUCCCGCUGAACGCGCCUCUUCCUGAAGAUUAGGAGAUAAUGCAUCUGCAAUAACAUGAGCUCAUCCAGGUUUGUGGUUUAUCUGAAAAUCAAAUCCCAAUAAUCUCAUAGUCCAUCUGGCUGCACACACAUUUGGGUAGAGUUUAAAUAUCAACCGUGACACUGGGCGAACGACUUUCAAAACAGGA